UUUCUCCCCUGCUGCGUCCUUCUUCCAGCUCCGCAACUAAGAGGUUCCGAAGUGGCAUUCACCAUCAGUAUUUUCUUCUUUCAUCAUCAUCAUCAUCAACAGCACCACGACCACCGCCAUCAACAUUUCUCUUCCUCCAUCAGAGCUCUUCAAGUUCUGCAAAAGCAGACUCUGUUCAGGCAUGCUGGGUGGCAUCACGUUUUUGACAUCUCAAAGCCUGGAGCCUGCCCAAGCGAA